rnacentral:misc_RNA from 1 species
UUUCCGUAGGUGAACCUGCGGAAGGAUCAUUACAAAAUUUUAUGGUAUUUCCUAACGUGCACCCAAGCAGACUCAUCCAUAUUAAACUUUAUAAACAUUUACUAGUCUGAUAAGACCAUAUACUGUAAAAAUUUAAAUAUAAUAAAACUUUCAACAACGGAUAUCUUGGCUCUC